UGUAAAGAAAAAUGUGGGGACAUUUGGAUGAGACUUGUAGGACAUCGGCGAAGAAAAAAAAGGUUUAUUAAAAAUUUAAAAUGGCUGCCGGUUUGUUUAGCUAGGUGGGAAUGGGCGUGGCCUGUGACGUGCCUUUACUAUUACGCGCUAAAUAACAAACGAACAAACAAACAAACCAACGUGACGGACUGAUAAACAAUAACCGUAACGUUAGUGGGGGGAAGUAAUUACUCAGUGCAGCCCAAAACACAACGAAGAGCUUGAAGAAGUGCCCUGCUUGUUCGCAGCAGAAGGAAAAGUGAGCCAAACAGGUUUCCCAUCUACCUUGCUUUCGGGACCAAACAUCUGUCUCCGUCGCCUGAAUAACUGCUGAGGGAGGUUUUAUUCCCGUCUGUGAACCCUUCAGGCUGUCACAGGAGAAUGUGGAGAAUUCGUGAUGAGGAGGAAAACGUGAGAGUGUUCCAGUCGAACCUGAAUAACAAGCAAAGAGCAAAACACCAGCAGAGCCAGAGAGUGAGGGCGAGGGUGCAGGAAAGUGGUGGAAAUGCUCAUUGUUUUUAAGUGAUAGAAAGAACUUCAUGUUUCUUUGAGUCACCAAACUGUUGGGUCCCUCGGGCCCUCAUUUAUUUUUUUUGUGCCUAAAUUCUUUGAAGGCUCUUGAUUUGAAUCCCUCCUUGCUGUCACUUCAUCUGAGCACGGUAGCAGUUUUCAUUGGUUGGGAACUCCUCAUGAGGAGUGGUGAGAAUGUGGCUUUGGCACGUAUGCCAAAGUCCUUAGGGCAUCCAUAGUUCAGAGAGAUUGAAUUCUCUCCAACUUAAAGCUCAACUGAAUUUGUUCAUUAUUAAAAAGACUCUCUUGAAUCUCGUGAAGGAGAAAUUAAAUUAAA